rnacentral:lncRNA from 1 species
GGAGGGCUGUAGUAGUAGAACGGGAAAUACGGCACAAUCGGGUUCGGCGGUGGUGGUCUCGGGUAGUUUCCGUUGCUGGGAGGAGGGUAGUAGUAGAUUCCUCCGCCACCACCGCCGCCGGUGGAUGCGGGAGGAGGUGGUGAGGAGUAGGUAUAUUGAGAGGGUGGAGGCGGGGAGUAGUAGUACGGAGCUCCUCCGCCGCCGCCGCCGGAGGAAGGAGGAGAGGGUGGUGGAGGACAGUUGUUUGUGGAAGGAGAUGGUGGUGGUGGUGAAGGUGGUGGCGGAGAUGGAACUUGGUUGCAAGGGUUGUUACAAGAGGAACACAUUGUGCACUGGAUCUGCGCGUGUGACGUGGCUUUUAGGGAGUGCUUAUUAUGAUCUGAAUCUUCUUCUGCCAUUGCCACACUAGCCAGAAACAGCAACAACGUUAAACACAAACACAACAACCUCAUCCUCCAAAAACUACUAACUACCUAGGAUGGCCAAGAAGAUGAGCAGAGUAAGAAAGGAAGGUGUAAAAAGUGAAGGGAGUGUGGGAAGAGAGAAAGUUGAAUGGUGGCUAGUACUAAAAGGGUGCUGUGUACUGUGGAGUAGUAUACACUAGGAAUUA